rnacentral:tRNA from 1 species
GUACUCUUAGCCCAGUGGUUAGAGCAUCACUCUUCAAUUUUGAGGUUGCAGGUUCAAUUCCUGUAGUGCACA